rnacentral:lncRNA from 1 species
UUUUCUCCUUCCUUCCCCCUCCCAUCAAUUGUUUCCUUGUGCGUUCACACUGCACCUCUCUUUCUCGUUCUAAUAUCGAUUAAAAUGCCCUUGCUUCUUGACUCACAUUUGCGUAUAAACCAACAGACCCUAGUUCCAGUCGCGCGUAACGUCGAACGACCCGUCUGAAAAAAAUUGGUGCGACACGAGGACUUCCUAAGA